rnacentral:rRNA from 1 species
UACGAAGGGGGCUAGCGUUGCUCGGAAUCACUGGGCGUAAAGGGUGCGUAGGCGGGUCUUUACGUCAGGGGUGAAAUCCUGGAGCUCAACUCCAGAACGGCCUUUGAUACUGAGGAUCUUGAGUACGGGAGAGGUGAGUGGAACUGCGAGUGUAGAGGUGAAAUUCGUAGAUAUCGUUUGGAACGCCAAUGGUGAAAACAGGUAGCUGGGAGUGUGCCGACGCUGAGACACGAAAGCCAGGGGAGCGAACGGG